rnacentral:snoRNA from 1 species
AUCCUUUUGCAGUUCAUAAGUGUAAUAAUUGAGUGUUCACAUGCAUGUGUGAGAUGUGCUACCCUCAAACCUUGUUACCAUAUCGGCACAUUACCUGUCUGACA